AACGAACGCUGGCGGCAGGCCUAACACAUGCAAGUCGAGCGAAGCCUUCGGGCUUAGCGGCGGACGGGUGAGUAACGCGUGGGAACGUGCCCUUUGGUACGGAAUAGCCCCGGGAAACUGGGAGUAAUACCGUAUGUGGUCGAGAGACGAAAGAUUUAUCGCCAAAGGAUCGGCCCGCGUUGGAUUAGGUAGUUGGUGGGGUAAUGGCCUACCAAGCCGACGAUCCAUAGCUGGUUUGAGAGGAUGAUCAGCCACACUGGGACUGAGACACGGCCCAGACUACUACGGGGGGCAGCAGUGGGGAAUCUUAGACAAUGGGGGAAACCCUGAUCUAGCCAUGCCGCGUGAUCGAUGAAGGCCUUAGGGUUGUAAAGAUCUUUCAGUGGGGAAGAUAAUGACUGUACCCACAGAAGAAGCCCCGGCUAACUCCGUGCCAGCAGCCGCCGUAAGAC
rnacentral:rRNA from 1 species